rnacentral:rRNA from 1 species
CUACGGGCUGCAGCAGUGGGGAAUAUUGGGCAAUGGAGGAAACUCUGACCCAGCGACGCCGCGUGCGGGAUGAAGGCCUUCGGGUUGUAAACCGCUUUCAGCAGGGAAGAAGCGAAAGUGACGGUACCUGCAGAAGAAGCACCGGCUAACUAUGUGCCAGCAGCCGCGGUAAUACAUAGGGUGCAAGCGUUGUCCGGAAUUAUUGAGCGUAAAGAGCUCGUAGGUGGUUCGUCACGUCGGAUGUGAAACUCUGGGGCUUAACCCCAGACCUGCAUUCGAUACGGGCGAGCUUGAGUAUGGUAGGGGAGUCUGGAAUUCCUGGUGUAGCGGUGGAAUGCGCAGAUAUCAGGAGGAACACCAAUGGCGAAGGCAGGACUCUGGGCCAUUACUGACACUGAGGAGCGAAAGCGUGGGGAGCGAACAGGAUUAGAUACCCUUGUAGUC